CCAUUAAUACCCCCGAAAACACCGACCAUUAAACAAACAAACCAUUUUUCCACCCAAGUAUGGGCGACAGAAAAGGAACUCAGGCGCCAUAGAAAAAGUACCGCAAGGGAAUGCUGAAAAAGAAGUGAAAUAAACCAGUAAAGUUGAAAAAAGCAGAGACUUACACUCGUACCUUUUGCAUCAUGAUUUAGUUAGUAAAGCCCAAGCAAAAAGCACUUUAGUUUGACUCCCCGAAACUAAGUGAGCUACUCCAAGACAGUCUAAAAACAGGACCAACCCGUCUCUGUGGCAAAAGAGUGGGAUGAGCUUUGAGUAGAGGUGACAAACCUACCGAACUUAGUUAUAGCUGGUUACCUGAGAAAUGAAUAAAAGUUCAGCUUCCUGAUUUCUCUACUCAAUACUAACUCUUCUAUCGCUGACUUAAAGAAAUCAAGAAAGUUAAUUAAAGGGGGUACAGCCCCUUUAAACAGGAUACAACUUCACCAGACGGGUAAAGAUCAUAACCACCAAGGCAAAAUGUUUUAGUAGGCUUGAAAGCAGCCACCUACAAGAAAGCGUUAAAGCUCCUUCAUGCCACCACCCCCAAAUCCAGACAACAUAUCUAAACCCACUAGUUUUAUCAGGUCGCCCCAUGUAAUUAUGGGGGCGUUCAUGCUAAUAUGAGUAAUAAGAAAAGUCAGCUUUUCUCCCUGCAUGCCUGUAAAUCGAAACGGACCCCCCACCGAAUCUUAUCGGCCCCAAAAAAAGAGGGCAGUGACCUAAAACCUUAACAACAAGAAAACCCCCCAAAUACCCACCGUUAACUCCACACUGAUAUGCUAACAAGGAAAGACUAAAAGAAAUAGAAGGAACUCGGCAAAUACAAGCCUCGCCUGUUUACCAAAAACACCGCCUCUUGCAAAUUAAAAAAUAAGAGGUCA
rnacentral:rRNA from 1 species